rnacentral:rRNA from 2 species
CAGAGAUGAGAAUGUGCCUUCGGGAACCGUGAGACAGGUGCUGCAUGGCUGUCGUCAGCUCGUGUUGUGAAAUGUUGGGUUAAGUCCCGCAACGAGCGCAACCCUUAUCCUUUGUUGCCAGCGGUCCGGCCGGGAACUCAAAGGAGACUGCCAGUGAUAAACUGGAGGAAGGUGGGGAUGACGUCAAGUCAUCAUGGCCCUUACGACCAGGGCUACACACGUGCUACAAUGGCGCAUACAAAGAGAAGCGACCUCGCGAGAGCAAGCGGACCUCAUAAAGUGCGUCGUAGUCCGGAUUGGAGUCUGCAACUCGACUCCAUGAAGUCGGAAUCGCUAGUAAUCGUGGAUCAGAAUGCCACGGUGAAUACGUUCCCGGGCCUUGUACACACCGCCCGUCACACCAUGGGAGUGGGUUGCAAAAGAAGUAGGUAGCUUAACCUUCGGGAGGGCGCUUACCACUUUGUGAUUCAUGACUGGGGUGAAGUCGUAACAAGGUAACCGUAGGGGAACCUGCGGUUGGAUCAC